GACGAACGCUGGCGGCGUGCCUAAUACAUGCAAGUCGAACGAGAGCGCCCGGUGCUUGCACUGGUCAAUCUAGUGGCGAACGGGUGAGUAACACGUGGGUAACCUGCCCAUCAGAGGGGGAUAACAUUCGGAAACGGAUGCUAAAACCGCAUAGGUCUUCGAACCGCAUGGUUUGAAGAGGAAAAGAGGCGCAAGCUUCUGCUGAUGGAUGGACCCGCGGUGCAUUAGCUAGUUGGUGAGGUAACGGCUCACCAAGGCCGUGAUGCAUAGCCGACCUGAGAGGGUGAUCGGCCACAUUGGGACUGAGACACGGCCCAAACUCCUACGGGAGGCAGCAGUAGGGAAUCUUCCGCAAUGGACGCAAGUCUGACGGAGCAACGCCGCGUGAGUGAAGAAGGUUUUCGGAUCGUAAAACUCUGUUGUUAGAGAAGAAUAAGUGCUAGAGUAACUGUUAGCGCCUUGACGGUACCUAACCAGAAAGCCACGGCUAACUACGUG
rnacentral:rRNA from 1 species